rnacentral:rRNA from 1 species
UACGUAGGGUGCAAGCAUUAAUCGGAUUUAUUGGGCGUAAAGGGCGCGUAGGCGGGCAUUUAAGUCAGAUGUGAAAUCCCGGAGCUCAACUCCGGAACAGCAUUUGAAACUGAACAUCUAGAGGGUAGGCGGAGAAAACGGAAUUCCACAAGUAGCGGUGAAAUGCGUAGAUAUGUGGAAGAACACCAGUGGCGAAGGCGGUUUUCUAGCUUACACCUGACGCUGAUGCGCGAAAGCAAGGGGAGCAAACAGG